rnacentral:rRNA from 1 species
CGUGGAGGACCGAACUGGUGAAUGUUGAAAAAUUCUCGGAUGAGCUGUGGAUAGCGGAGAAAUUCCAAUCGAACCCGGAGAUAGCUGGUUCUCCCCGAAAUAGCUUUAGGGCUAGCCUCGGGCGUUCAAUCAUGGAGGUAGAGCACUGGAUGGGCUAGGGGGCUUCCCGCUUACCAAACCCAACCAAACUGCGAAUUCCGUGAUUCAAGAGCCCGGGAGUCAGACUACGAGGGCUAAGCUUCGUGGUCCCAAGGAAAACAGUCCAGAUCGCCAACUAAGGUCCCUAAAUCAACGCUAAGUGGUGAACGAUGUGGGAACGCACAAACAACCAGGAUGUUGGCUUAGAAGCAGCCAUCAUUUAAAGAAAGCGUAACAGCUCACUGGUCAAGUGAUCCCGCGCGGAAAAUUCAACGGGGCUCAAGCGUUGUACCGAAGUUGCGAAAUCGACGCCCAGUUUACUGGCCGUCGAUUGGUAGGGGAGCGUUCCGCUCGCAGUGAAGGCAGACCGGAAGGACUGCUGGAGCGUGCGGAAGUGCGAAUGUCGGCAUGAGUAGCGAAAUGUGAGUGGGAAUCUCACACACCGUAUGGCCAAGGUUUCCUGAGCAAGGCUCGUCCUCUCAGGGUUAGUCGGUCCUAAGUCGAGGGCGAACGCCGUAGACGAUGGACAUCUGGUUGAUAUUCCAGAACCACCAAAGACCGUUUGCACCGCAAGGUGUCGUCGGGCCGAGGCGGAGGGUGGCUCUCUGACGCAAGUCAGGGGGUACUCCGAGCCGGAGUUCGAUGGGAGCAAGGGCAUGACGGGGUCUGGUAGUUCGAGCGUGCUAUGGAAUGCACGUCCAAGCUCGUAGGGGGUGGGACUAGGUAAAUCCGGUCCCGCAUUCAACUCUGAAAAGUGAUGGGGAGGGGCGUAAGCCUUGACUCGAGCAAGCCAAGCCUCCAAGAAAAGUGUCUAGCGAGGUCCUAGGUGACCGUACCGCAAACCGACACAGGUGGCCGGGUAGAGAAUACCAAGGUGAUCGGGAGAACCCUCGUUAAGGAACUCGGCAAAAUAGCCCCGUAACUUCGGGAGAAGGGGCGCUCUCAUGUGCAGCUUGCUGUAUGUGAGAGCCGCAGUGAAAUGGCCCAGGCGACUGUUUAGCAAAAACACAGGUCUCCGCUAAAGCGCAAGCUGACGUAUGGGGGCUGACGCCUGCCCAGUGCUGGAAGGUUAAGAGGAGGGGUGCAAGCUCUGAAUCGAAGCCCCAGUGAACGGCGGCUGUAACUAUAACAGUCCUAAGGUAGCGAAAUUCCUUGUCGGGUAAGUUCCGACCCGCACGAAUGGCGUAACGAUCUGGGCACUGUCUCAACGAGGGAUCCGGCGAAAUUGAAAUACCAGUGAAGAUGCUGGUUACGCGCGCUGGGGCAAAAAGACCCCGUGGAGCUUUACUACACCCUGAUAUUGAAUUGAGGCUCGACCUGUGUAGGAUAGGUGGGAGGCUUUGAAACUGGGGCGCUAGCCUCGGUGGAGCCGUCGUUGAAAUACCACCCUUGUUGUGUUUCGUUUCUAACCCCGUGCCGUUAUCCGGCCGGGGAACAGUGUCAGGCGGGUAGUUUGACUGGGGCGGUCGCCUCCUAAAGAGUAACGGAGGCGCCCAAAGGUCCUCUCAGGCUGGAUGGAAAUCAGCCAUAGAGUGCAAAGGCAUAAGAGGGCUUGACUGCGAGACCUACAAGUCGAGCAGGUGCGAAAGCAGGGCUUAGUGAUCUGAUAACUCCGAGUGGAAGGGUUAUCACUCAACGGAUAAAAGCUACCCCGGGGAUAACAGGCUGAUGGUGCCCAAGAGUUCAUAUCGACGGCACCGUUUGGCACCUCGAUGUCGGCUCGUCGCAUCCUGGGGCGGAAGUACGUCCCAAGGGUUUGGCUGUUCGCCAAUUAAAGCGGUACGUGAGCUGGGUUCAGAACGUCGUGAGACAGUUCGGUCUCUAUCCAGCGUGCGCGAAGGGAACUUGAAGGGAGCUGCUCCUAGUACGAGAGGACCGGAGUGGACGAGCCUAUGGUGUGCCUGUUGUCCUUCCAAGGGCAUCGCAGGGUAGCUAAGCUCGGCAGGGAUAAGCGCUGAAAGCAUAUAAGCGCGAAGCUCGCCCUAAGAUGAGGUUCCCCACCGGGUUAACCGGGUAAGACCGCAGGGAGACUACCUGUUUGAUAGGGCGCAUGUGGAAGGCCAGUGAUGGCUGCAGCAAAGCGCUACUAACGGUCGAGGGCUUGACCUC